rnacentral:lncRNA from 1 species
UUCAACUACUAUAUCUUCAGGAGGUACAAAGGGUGGUGGGCAAGGCAUAACUACAUCCUCUCUGCAGCUCUUGAUGCAGGCACAGCGAUUAUGGGAGUGUUGAUCUACUUUACGUUGCAGAACAAUAACAUAAGCUUACCAGAUUGGUGGGGGAAUGAGAACACAGACCAUUGCCCUUUGGCAAAUUGCCCGACAGAGAAAGGGAUCGUCGCUAAGGGCUGCCCGGUGUUCUAAAACCUUGUUGCAGUUCAACAUUUUCUCUGGAGUUUCUCAGACCUGCAGGUGAAAGACUGUUACUGCCAAGUGGUUUGGUUGCCAUAAUAAUAUUGUGUAAAGACUCUGUGAGAGUUUUAAGUGAUAAUGUAAAAAAUGAUUUGCAAAUGAAGAACAGCUAAAUAUGAUAGCAAGUUCAGUCAAAGAGAGAACUUGAAUAUAAAAGGUAAACUAAAGCUCAUUAGUGAAUAAUUUCAGGACAAGCAAAACAAAGGCUAAACGUUCCAUCUCUUGCUAAUUGAAUUCCUAAAGGACACAGCUCUGUUAACAGCUGCUGUAAAAUGCUUCCCUGCUUGUCAAUUCCAUGCAAUCAAGACAUAAAUUUGCCAUCUUCUAAUGAACUCAGGAAAACUCCUAAAUUGUGCAAUUUAAUGUACAUGUCAAACGCAAUCAGAUCCUAAGCUUCAUAGUUGGGUUUUUCAAACCUUUAAAAUCAUGAUGAGAGAGAUCUCCAGAGGAGACAAGAGAUAGAGGACAAGCUUUAUGUACGCAUGCUGAGAGAUCUCAGACCUGAGCUCGCCAUUAUUU